UACGGAGGGUGCAAGCGUUGUCCGGAAUCACUGGGCGUAAAGGGCGCGUAGGCGGCUCAUGAAGGCUGUGGUGAAAGUCCGGGGCUCAACCUCGGAUCGGCCGUGGCGACUCGUGGGCUGGAGCACUGUAGAGGCGGGUGGAAUUCCGGGUGUAGCGGUGGAAUGCGUAGAGAUCCGGAAGAACACCAGUGGCGAAGGCGGUUGCCUGGGGCUUUGCUGACGCUGAUGCGCGAAAGCGUGGGGAGCGAUCCGG
rnacentral:rRNA from 1 species